AAGUCGUAACAAGGUCUCCGUUGGUGAACCAGCGGAGGGAUCAUUACCGAGUUUACAACUCCCAAACCCCUGUGAACAUACCUAUCGUUGCCUCGGCGGUGCCCGCUCCGGCGGCCCGCCAGAGGACCCCCAAACUCUUGUUUUAUACAGUAUCUUCUGAGUAACACGAUUAAAUAAAUCAAAACUUUCAACAACGGAUCUCUUGGUUCUG
rnacentral:misc_RNA from 1 species